GAUGAACGCUGGCGGCGUGCCUAAUACAUGCAAGUCGAGCGAACAGACGAGGAGCUUGCUCCUCUGACGUUAGCGGCGGACGGGUGAGUAACACGUGGAUAACCUACCUAUAAGACUGGGAUAACUUCGGGAAACCGGAGCUAAUACCGGAUAAUAUAUUGAACCGCAUGGUUCAAUAGUGAAAGACGGUUUUGCUGUCACUUAUAGAUGGAUCCGCGCCGCAUUAGCUAGUUGGUAAGGUAACGGCUUACCAAGGCAACGAUGCGUAGCCGACCUGAGAGGGUGAUCGGCCACCCUGGAGCUGAGACACGGUCCAGACUCCUACGGGAGGCAGCAGUAGGGAAUCUUCCGCAAUGGGCGAAAGCCUGACGGAGCAACGCCGCGUGAGUGAUGAAGGUCUUCGGAUCGUAAAACUCUGUUAUUAGGGAAGAACAAAUGUGUAAGUAACUAUGCACGUCUUGACGGUACCUAAUCAGAAAGCCACGGCUAACUACGUG
rnacentral:rRNA from 1 species